rnacentral:tRNA from 2 species
GGCCCCGUCGUCCAGCGGCCUAGGACGCUGGCCUUUCAAGCCAGAAACGCGGGUUCGAAUCCCGUCGGGGCCACCA